rnacentral:rRNA from 1 species
GCUAUUCUUGAAGAUUAAGCCAUGCAUGUGCCAAGUUCAAACGUUCAUAUCGUGAGACUGCGGAAGGCUCAGUAUAUCAGUGAUUAUCUGUUUGAUUGUCUUACCUAUGGAUAACCGUGGGAAAUCUAGAGCUAAUACAUGCAGUUUAUGGUGGGGCUUGCUCUGCCAAGCAUUUAUUAGUUUUAACCAAUUACUGCGCAAGCAGUAAGGUGAAUCUAGAUAACUUUGCUGAUCGCAUGGCUUUGCCAGCGACGUUUCAAUUGAGUUUCUGCCCUAUCAAUUUGUUGGUAAGGUAUUGGCUUACCAAGGUUGUAACGGGUAACGGGGAAUCAGGGUUCGAUUCCGGAGAGGGAGCUUGAGAAUCGGCUACCACAUCCAAGGAAGGCAGCAGGCGCGCAAAUUACCAAAUCUAGACAGUAGGAGGUGGUGAAGAGAAGUACUAAGUGGUGGUUAUUUACUACCAGCUUGGAAUGGACCAAAUUUAAGCAUUUCGGUGAGUAACUACUGGAGGGCAAGUCCUGGUGCCAGCAGCCGCGGUAAUUCCAGCUCCAGUGGCGUGAUUUAAAGUUGCUGCGUUUAAAACGCUCGUAGUUGGAUCAAGCGGUGUCAGUUUGUAGUCUGCGGUUGGCAUUUGGCUGCUUCAGUCGAUGCCGGUCGUGGAUUAAACGCAAACUGUCACUAUUUAAUCGCAAAUAUGUUGGUUGGCCUUUAAUGAGCUGACUUUCAUAUUUUGCAGAGUGGUGCCUUGAAUAAAACGAAGUGCUCAAAGCAGGCGAACGCUUGAAUGUUGUAGCAUGGAACGAACAAACGUGUAUUCGCACAUGUCGUGCGAAGCGGAUGCGCUUCUGGUGUGUCUGCUUUGCUGACGUGUGCAUCACCCGCCAAAGUACGAUUGUUGGUUAUCGUAUUAGGUGAUGAUUAAAAGGAGCGGUUGGGGGCAUUGGUAUUUGGACGCGAGAGGUGAAAUUCAAAGACCGUCCAAGGACUAACAAAUGCGAAGGCAUCUGUCCAGACCGUAUCCAUUAAUCAAGAACGAAAGUGGGAGGUUCGAAGACGAUUAGAUACCGUCGUAGUUCCCACUGUAAACUAUGCCGACUAGGGAUCAGCUUGGUGAUGUUACAAGCAUCAAGUUGGUCUCCAAGGGAAACCAUAAGUUUUUCGGUUACGGGGAGAGUAUGGUCGCAAGGCUGAAAUUUAAAGGAAUUGACGGAAGGGCACCACCAGGGGUGGAACCUGCGGCUUAAUUUGACUCAACACGGGGAAACUUACAUGGUCCAGACAUCGAUAGGAUAAACAGACUGAUAGCUCUUUUUUGAUGCGGUGAGUGGUGGUGCAUGGCCGUUCCUAGUUCGUGGAGUGAUCUGUCAGGUUUAUUCCGGUAACGAACGAGACUACAACCUUCAUUUAAGAGGCAAAAGCAGGUUUCGCGUUUGAUUGUGCUUCGGUGCUUUCUUACGUGUCUCUGAAAGAAGAAUAUUCAAUUUUCCAGCUGGCYGGGCUAGCGGGCAACCGUGAACUYGGUCAGUUGCGGGAUGCGGGUAUUUUCUCUUUUGUCAAGCAGUCCUAGGGCAACCUUUGGCUGACUUAUGGAGGGACUGCUGGUGUUACAAAACCAGAGGAAGUGUGGCGAUAACAGGUCAGUGAUGCCCUUCGAUGUCCAUGGCUGCACGCGCGUUACAAUGAUAACGUCAGAAAGUAUCUGUUUCGAGAGAAAUAGGUAAUCUUUAAUCGUUAUCGUGAUGGGGAUUGACCGUUGUAAAUCGGUCAUGAAAUAGGAAUCCCGAGUAUAUGCUAUUUAUUAAAUAGUAUAGAUUUAGUCCCUGCCCUUUGUACACACCGCCCGUCGCUACUACCGAGUGAAUGGUGUCAUGAUGCGCUGGGACCGUACUUUGAAGAGGUGUCAAAGCCUUU